UCGAAGCAACGCGCAGAACCUUACCAGCCCUUGACAUGUCCGGCACACUCCAGAGAUGGGGUUUUCCCUUCGGGGACCGGAGCACAGGUGCUGCAUGGCUGUCGUCAGCUCGUGUCGUGAGAUGUUGGGUUAAGUCCCGCAACGAGCGCAACCCUCGCCCUUAGUUGCCAGCAUUAAGUUGGGCACUCUAGGGGGACUGCCGGUGAUAAGCCGAGAGGAAGGUGGGGAUGACGUCAAGUCCUCAUGGCCCUUACGGGCUGGGCUACACACGUGCUACAAUGGCGGUGACAAUGGGCAGCGAAGGGGCGACCCGGAGCUAAUCUUGAAAAACCGUCUCAGUUCGGAUUGUUCUCUGCAACUCGAGAGCAUGAAGUUGGAAUCGCUAGUAAUCGCGUAACAGCAUGACGCGGUGAAUACGUUCCCGGGCCUUGUACACACCGCCCGUCACACCAUGGGAGUUGGCUUUACCCGAAGGUGGUGCGCUAACCCGCAAGGGAGGCAGCCAACCACGGUAGGGUCA
rnacentral:rRNA from 1 species